rnacentral:rRNA from 1 species
UACAGAGGUGCCAAGCGUUAGGCGGAAUCACUGGGCUUAAAGCGUGUGUAGGUGGAGAUCUAAGUACCUUGUGAAAUCCCACGGCUCAACCGUGGAACUGCUGGGUAUACUGGGUCUCUUGAGCCAACUAGGGGCGAGCGGAACAAAUGGUGGAGCGGUGAAAUGCGUAGAUAUCAUUUGGAACCCCAAUGGUGAAAACAGCUCGCUGGGGUUGUGCUGACACUGAGACACGAAAGCCAGGGGAGCGAACGGG